rnacentral:misc_RNA from 1 species
GCUCUCUCACAUGUGUCAAAUGAUCAUGACAUGUGUCAAAUGUUGUUUUUGUAUGAAUGUUCUGUCGUGUAUUAUUCCGUAUCCUUUUUGUUAAUAAUAAGAAAAAAACAUAUUUGAAAAAUUUCUUUUUCAAUUUAUAUAACGAAAAUUAUUACACAAUUCACGCCGCAAGAAUGGCUGAUCAGCAGCAGUUCUUUUUAAAAUGGAACGACUUUCAAAGCAAUAUGGUCUCCUCUUUUAGGCAUUUAAGGGAUGAAAAAAGCUUUACAGAUGUUACCUUAGCUUGUGAGGGCCAAACAUGUAAAGCACACAAGAUGGUCUUGUCUGCAUGUAGUCCAUAUUUUAAAAGCUUAUUGGAGGAAAAUCCUUCAAAACACCCCAUUAUAAUCCUUAAGGAUGUGGCAUACAGCCACCUGCAAGCCAUCCUAGAGUUCAUGUAUGCCGGUGAGGUUAAUGUGAGCCAGGAACAGCUUCCUGCUUUCUUAAAAACCGCUGACCGGCUGAAGGUGAAAGGGCUGGCGGAGGCGCCGCAAGCAAUAAAAAGGGAAUAAUGAUUUCUUGACUUCGUAGUUAGCUUUCAGCAGGUGGGGAAAAUGAAGAAGGUGGCGAUUAUAACUGUUAAAUGUGGGUAAACUGUCUUAAUUACUGUUGGCAGCAAUUUAAUAAUAUUAAGAAGGAAGAAAAUAAGAUUUAGGAGGGCCAGGCAUCACAUGUAAUAGGAAAGAUAUAUACGACAGUUAUUUAGUAGUUUGAUAAAUAUGAUUCUUUCCAGAUAAAGUUAAACCAGAUAUUUUUUGCCUUCAAGAAAGUUAUAGUAUAGAGAACUUUAUUCUGUAAUACCUUUAUUCGAAUUUUACAAUUUACAACCUUUAUACAAAAUAAAAUCUUACUGGAAAUAUAAUAUGAAUUAUA